GGUGGGGGCCUGUCACAAAAGAGCCUGGGGAGAUGCAGGUGCUGAGCCUGGCUGCCCCUGCCCCAGCGUGGCCCGUGUCCCUGCAGCACGUGGCCGAGGAGCUCCAGCACCUGCUGCAAUGGCUGAUGGGUGCUCCCGCCGGGCUCAAGAUGAACCGUGCACUGGACCAGGUGCUGGGCCGCUUCUUCCUCUACCACAUCCACCUGUGGAUCAGUGAGUACAGGGCAGGCGGGGGCCCCAGGGACCCCAGAGCUUGCUGAAGAGGAUAGGGACCCAGCCAGACCCCGCCCCCUGCGCCCCCAACUGUUCCCCGGCGUCCUGUGUGUGUGAGGCCUGCUGUGCUCAGCCGAGGGCUGGGGCCUGGGCACCUCCUGAGGACUGACCCCACCCUGCCAGGCUACACGCACCUUAUGUCCUGUGUGUGUGAGGCUUGUGCUGGGCCGAGGGCUGGGGUCUGAGCGCCUCCUGAGGGCCUACCCCACCCUGCCAGGCUACAUCCACCUCAUGUCCCCCUUCGUGGAGCACAUCCUUUGGCACGUGGGCCUCUCGGCCUGCCUGGGCCUGACGGUGGCCCUGUCCCUCCUCUCGGACAUCAUCGCCCUCCUCACCUUCCACAUCUACUGCUUCUAUGUCUAUGGAGCCAGGUGGGCGUGGGCUUCCCCCUCCCCACCGCCCCCUGGGAGGUGCAGAGGCUCCAGCUGGGCGUUCAAGUGGGACGGGGCGGGGCAAGCGAGUGGGGUGGGGGGGCGGGGCGGGGCGCGGCGGGGUGAGGGCUGGCCUGACAGCACUGCGUCCUAUAGGCUGUACUGCCUGAAGAUCCAUGGCCUAUCCUCACUCUGGCGUCUGUUCCGGGGGAAGAAGUGGAAUGUUCUGCGCCAGCGCGUGGACUCCUGUUCCUAUGACCUGGACCAGGUAUGGGGCAGGGUUCGUGGCUGGAGGGGCUGACUGCCCCCGGCCUGUGCCUGCUGGGCCAGUGCGGUGCUUGGGCACCACAAGGGGGCAGCCUGCUCCCGUCCUGCAGCUCAGGCCGCGCACAGGCCCUGGGAAUAGCUUAAGUCUGCAGUGUGGGCUGCACGUGGGGCUCUGAAGCAGUGCAGAGCUUCCCUGGGCCACAAAGGAGAGACAGACACACAACUCCGAAGGUGAUACAGGCACAGGCCCUAGAGGUGUCCCAGGCUCAGAGACUAGAGGUGCCCAGGCACAGAGACUGGGGUGACCCAGGCAUAGGCCCGAGAGGUGCUCAGGCUCAGAGGCUGGCUCUGGCUGUCCCGCCUGCUGCUCACACCUGACGCAGGCCCUGGAUGCUGCCAUCCAGAGCGUGUUCUUGGUGACUGUGUGGCCACGCACCAUGUUGGCUGGUCUGGCCCCCACCUGUCUCCCUGCGAGUCCCCUAGUCGGUGGGGUGUGGGUGGACAGCCCUCCUGCUACUGGGACUGCUUCUGAGCAGGCCAUCCCGAGUUCCCUCAGGAAGCCGCAAGGUCCCGACUGCAGCUCCGGAAUGGGGGAGGGCACAGUGCUGGGCCGUCCCUGGGGGCAGGGUCCUGCUGAUGCCCGGUGUGCCGGCCCCUCCCUACAGCUGUUCAUCGGGACUCUGCUCUUCACCAUCCUGCUCUUCCUCCUGCCUACCACAGCCCUGUACUACCUGGUGUUCACCCUGGACCCUGCAGCCUCUGGGCUCCCUUCA
rnacentral:sRNA from 1 species